rnacentral:ncRNA from 2 species
UACUACCUUCGGGGUCAGGUGGAAUUCCUAACCGGCGGUAAAGCCCGCGAGUCCGUAAAAAUUUACGGAUAGAUCCGGUGAAAUUCCGGAGCCGACAGUUAAAGUCUGGAUGGGAGAAGGUAUUA